rnacentral:pre_miRNA from 1 species
UAUGCACUAAUUUGUAUGGAGUUGGAACGUUUGUCUACUUUUGCCGCUAGGGGCGCUGUCCCAACUGCAUACAAAUGUGAGUUA